rnacentral:lncRNA from 1 species
CCCUUUGCUUACUAAUUUUUAGAUUUUGAUUGCUUCAUAAUCAAGAAAAGAAAAGCAAGAAAAGAAGAGAAGAAAAUGAUCGAGAAAAAGAGCAAAGAGUUGAUCAUGAUCCAAGCUUCAUUCAAAUUCGUAGGGUGAUUGUUCUUAGAGAAGAAAGAUCAAUAUCAAAGAUGAUUGUUCCAGGCUGAUUCUGAGUGGAUACUCAUAA